CCUAUGGGAGGCAGCAGUGAGGAAUAUUGGUCAAUGGGCGCGAGCCUGAACCAGCCAAGUCGCGUGAGGGAAGACGGUCCUAUGGAUUGUAAACCUCUUUUGUCGGGGAGCAAAAGACGCCACGCGUGGCGUUCAGAGAGUACCCGAAGAAACAGCAUCGGCUAACUCCGUGCCAGCAGCCGCGGUAAUACGGAGGAUGCGAGCGUUAUCCGGAUUUAUUGGGUUUAAAGGGUGCGCAGGCGGAAGAUCAAGUCAGCGGUAAAAUUGAGGGGCUCAACCUCUUCGAGCCGUUGAAACUGGUUUUCUUGAGUGAGUGAGAGGUGUGCGGAAUGCGUGGUGUAGCGGUGAAAUGCAUAGAUAUCACGCAGAACUCCGAUUGCGAAGGCAGCAUACCGGCGCUCAACUGACGCUCAUGCACGAAAGUGUGGGUAGCGAACAGGAUUAGAUACCCGGGUAGUC
rnacentral:rRNA from 1 species